GUCAGGACGAACGCUGGCGGCGUGCCUAAUACAUGCAAGUCGAGCGGACCGACGGGAGCUUGCUCCCUUAGGUCAGCGGCGGACGGGUGAGUAACACGUGGGUAACCUGCCUGUAAGACUGGGAUAACUCCGGGAAACCGGGGCUAAUACCGGAUGCUUGAUUGAACCGCAUGGUUCAAUCAUAAAAGGUGGCUUUUAGCUACCACUUACAGAUGGACCCGCGGCGCAUUAGCUAGUUGGUGAGGUAACGGCUCACCAAGGCGACGAUGCGUAGCCGACCUGAGAGGGUGAUCGGCCACACUGGGACUGAGACACGGCCCAGACUCCUACGGGAGGCAGCAGUAGGGAAUCUUCCGCAAUGGACGAAAGUCUGACGGAGCAACGCCGCGUGAGUGAUGAAGGUUUUCGGAUCGUAAAACUCUGUUGUUAGGGAAGAACAAGUACCGUUCGAAUAGGGCGGUACCUUGACGGUACCUAACCAGAAAGCCACGGCUAACUACGUGCCAGCAGCCGCGGUAAUACGUAGGUGGCAAGCGUUGUCCGGAAUUAUUGGGCGUAAAGCGCGCGCAGGCGGUUUCUUAAGUCUGAUGUGAAAGCCCCCGGCUCAACCGGGGAGGGUCAUUGGAAACUGGGGAACUUGAGUGCAGAAGAGGAGAGUGGAAUUCCACGUGUAGCGGUGAAAUGCGUAGAGAUGUGGAGGAACACCAGUGGCGAAGGCGACUCUCUGGUCUGUAACUGACGCUGAGGCGCGAAAGCGUGGGGAGCGAACAGGAUUAGAUACCCUGGUAGUCCACGCCGUAAACGAUGAGUGCUAAGUGUUAGAGGGUUUCCGCCCUUUAGUGCUGCAGCAAACGCAUUAAGCACUCCGCUGGGGAGACGGUCGCAGAUGACCAG
rnacentral:rRNA from 1 species